GCUCUGAGCCGAACAGCCAAAGCCAGGCAGGUAGGGAGCUGACAGCUGGGGAAUUGCUAAGAGGCGCCAGGCUGGUGGGGGCAGGCUGGUGAAACAGUGGACUCGGAGAAGGUGUGAUUCGGCGAUGCACAAACACUGCUGUUUACCAGCUUUCUUUGGAGUCUCCUCCACUUCCUCGGCUCCAUCAAGCUCACCAACGUUUCACUUUCCUUUUUCCCUUCCUCCAACCCACAUGACAACCCAGUCGGUCCCCUCAUCUAUUCUGUAAUGCUUGUCUCCCCCACUCCUUUUGGGAGAAGAAAGGGAGCAGAUGAGUACAUGUUAAUAACAUCAAAAUGUCACUUUGUGGUCAGCUGAAGAGGGACAGGUCUCUGAAGGCCUCAAGGCAAAGUAUUGAUUUGAUUGCUGCAGUCAGAAGAAAGAACAGGCUGGGGAUUAAGGGGUGUCUGCACUGGGGACUUGUUGGGCAAAGGCACAAGGUUAGUGAGUUUCAAAGGUUUGAGGACUAACUGGUCCACAUUCCUUGGAGAGAGGCAUCCCAGGAAAAAGGAAAGCUGUGUCCCCAGUUCUCUUUUUAAAAACGGAAGUUGAGAGAGAGAAAGCAGGAGCCAAGCUUCAAGACUAUGGAUAAGUCUUGAAUCCUCUUCCAGACAGUAAAAGCAGUAUUUACAUUCCUAUGCCCAUCCACUAAGGAUCACAGAUUCCCUUGCAAAGGCACCCCAUGUGGAAAAAUCCAUCAUCCUUUUCAUGCAAAAACAACAAACAAAAACAAAAUAAAACUUUACUAAUCAGGUUGCAUUUACUCAUCUUGCCUGUAACUUUUCUGGAUGAUGUUCAAAACAACUUGCAACCCUUCCUGACACCUCUCGUCACUGAACAAAACCAUCCAGUUCUCUUACACUAGACAAGGCAAUAGCAUAAUUUUCACAUAUUACAGGAACAGGACAGAUACUGCUGAUCUGAUGCCUGGAUUCUCAGAUUGAUUUAAACCACAGGUGAUUCUCAGCAGGCCAAGGUCACAUACUCCCUACUCUCAAGGACCUGUGUGUCUCUGCCCCUCCUCCCCACUGCUGGAUGAGAGGUUCUAUCAUUCCCAAUCUACAGAUGGAACAAUAAAGGCCCAUUUAAGUGAAAAUGACUCCUUGAGUCUGUCUUUUCAUUUACUGUAGGGGAAGGGCACUUUGGAGCCAUACUGUUGCAUCUCAUCAGAGGGCCUCAUAUCUGAGCCGCCAUUCUGAAGCCUGCUUCACUCUAUCACAGGAUGGGAGCCUCAGAGCUUAGCUUCUAGUCUCAACUGUGAUACCUGUAUCAUGUAGAAGUCCUUAGGUCCAGGAGUCAGAAGGCCUGAGUUCUCAACUUAGAAUUACCAGUUAGCAAUCAUGUUAAUCACAUCACUUAAAUCCUCCUGUGGAUUUCUACGCCCCUUAUAAGAAAACCAUAACUCAUCUUCAGAACUCCGUAUGAUCUGGCUGUUGCUAAUCUCUCUGACCCCAUCCCAUACCCCUCUCCCUUUACUUCUCAGUCACACCAGCCUUCUUCUGUUUCUGAACUUCAGAAACAGAAGACCUGUUUAUACUUCAUUGUCUGUGUACCUGUUGUUUGCUCUGCCUCUAUUGUCCUAAAAGUACCUAGAGUCUACCAAUCAUUUGGCUCUCAGCAAAUGCUGAAUUACUCAAUAGGUAGAUUAAGCAUACAUAAAGGACAACAAUAAAGCAAUGGCGCUGCCAGAGAAGGUUUCUGGGGAAAAAUUAUUUGAAAUUUGAUAUGUUUUUUUAAUCUAUGUAGUCAUUAUGGGAACGAUAAGAAUCUUUCAUUUGUUCCUUAAUUCAUUCACUUAGCAGACAUUUAUGGUACUUAUGUGCCAUCUGUCUCCUCUCCCUACAAUUUUAAGUUCCAUGAAGGCAGAAACUUUGUCUAUCUUAGACUCCAUCAGCACAAAGAUGAUGUCUAAAUGUUUAAAUGUCUGUUAAAUGAAUAAGUGAAUUAGUGAGCAAAUGAAUGAAUGUAAUCUCAGACUAAUCAUUUAAACUAUCUGAGCCUCAGUUUUCUCAUCCUUAAUGUAUGACUAACACUAACAUUCUUGUCUACUUCAAAGUGUUGGAAAGAGUCUGAAAAAUAUGUGUAUGAGACCCAGUUUCCUAAAAUACAGAGCCUGAGGCAGGGAUCAAGUACUGGUGCUUAAUUUGGAAGAUACAAUCCUAGGGCAUCCAGACUGAAGGCAAAAGUAAAAGAGACAAGAAGAGGGGGAAGAAAUGAAAAGACGACAUGUUAGCACAUUGACCAGUGCGUCAUGUGAAGCUGCAACCACUGGCAGGAGUGGUCACAGGACCAUGCAAGAUACCUAUGGAGAAACUAUACCUUGAAGCAAUCCAUCAAGGAAAGGCUAAACACUGAUGACUAUUCACCCACUGAAGCAUUUACUGCCCCAUACUUCCACAUGGCCCUAUUCCCUCACCCCUUCAAAGCAUCCAGGAAUCUACUUCUACGUCCUUUACUGUGAUGAUAUUUCAUCUAAGUCUGAAAGUGACUGGAAGAGCCAGAGUCUCCAAGCUUGUGGCACGUUGACCACAGUGGUGAAACCUGCAGCCCCACAGCUUCAGGAGGGGCAGCUGUUUAGAACAAGAAGCUGAGAGUCCAGGCCAGGGAGUGAGUGAAGAUGAGAGAUUCCAGUGAGGAUGAAACUAUACACAUAAAUUAUUUCUAAUAAAGUAUCAGAAAGUGAUUCGAAAACUGGAAAGCACCAAACAAUGACAAGUGUUGUUUCAUUGGUCUUUUUUUAGAAAAAUUCAAGUGUGUUUUUACCUCAUCGUCUCUGCACUUGUGUAAGUUUGAUAAGCUUUCAAGCAGACUGUGCAAAUGAAGUCUUUUCUGUUUGCACUGUUAUUGUUGAAAUAGCCCGUCUCUGAAAUAAGCCACUUCAUCUCAUCAUAAAAAUCCUUCUGUCCAAAAUAGAAACAGAAAUGUGUGCUGUUAGAGGGUUUUUUUUUUUCCCCUUGCUGUUUAGUUUCUAUUAUUGAAAGAAAACACACCCAGUAUGAGCAACCCAUAUGGGAGAUAAUUUUCACAUAAACUUCUUGCCUCUUGAUUCUCCCUCCAUCACUUCUUUCUUAUAGCAUCAACUUCCUCGCGCCCAUUCUUGUGCUAGUAUGUUGCCUACACAGUGGUGAGUUUUAACAGACCUCCAAUAUACUGGUAAACGUUAACAGCACAGUCUGUGUAAUGGUCAGAACAGAAAGAUUUCCUAACCUGAAGUGACUCCGUUACCAAUUACAUAACUUGUUGACAUGUCGUCCCUCAUCGUGUUUUGUCUACAAAUCCAAGACCCUAACUAUUUGGGGUCAGUCUGAAAUGAAAUCAGCCCAAACUGAGGAGCUCUGUGUGUUUUGGGAUUUGAUUUCAUUCCAGAGCUUAGUAAAAUGAAAUGCCUAGCACAUGGUAGGAUGUACAUGCACACACACACACACACACACACACACACACACGCACACACACAUGCACACACACACACAAAUUAUUCAUUAAAUAAAUGAAUGGAUGGAUGCAGUUAGUUUAGAGCAAAAAAAAUUUUUUUGUUUUUUUUUGGCUUUUUAGGGCCACACCCACAGCUUAUGGAAGUUCCCAGGCUAAGGGUCGAUUAGGAGCUACAGUUGCUGGCCACAGCCACGGCCACAACCACACAGGAUCCGAGCCACCUCUGUGACUUACACCACAACUCAAGGUAAUGCCAGAUCCUUAAUCCACUGAGUGAAGCCAAGGAUCAAAUCUGAAUCCUCAUGGAUACUAAUCAGAUUCGUUUCCACUACACCACAAUGGGAACUCCCAAAAAAUUUUUAAAUUAAAAUACAGGAGUGGGAUAGACUAGGAGUUUGGGGUUAGUAAAUGCAAAUUAUUUAUUACAUUUAGAAUGAUAUGCAAUGAGACCCUACUAUACAGCACGAGGAACUAUAUCCAAUCUCUUGGGACAGACCAUGAUAGAAGAUAAUAUAAGAAAAAGAAUGUUGUGUAUAUAUGUAUGAUUGGGUCACUUUGCUGUACAGUAGAGGUUGGCACAACAUUGUAAAUCAACUAUACUUUAAUAAAAAAAUUUUAAAGUACAGGCUCUAGGAGGUCCCGUUGUGGCUGAGUAGUUAACAAAUCUGUCCAUUAUCCGUGAGGAUGCAGGUUCAAUCCCUGAUCUUGCUCAGUGGGUUAAGGAUCCGGCAUUGCCAUGGGUUGUAGUGUAGGUUGUAGACGCGGCUCGGAUCCUGUGUUGCUGUGACUGUGGCGUAGGCCAGCAAGGAUAGCUCCGAUUAGACCCCAGCCUAGGAACCUCCAUAUGCCGUGGGUGCGCAUGCCCCCCAACAACAAAAACAUAAAUUACAGGCUCUAGAACAGAUGCGUCUGGGUUUAAAUUCUAGCUUUAUCAUAAAACAGUGACAUUGGAAAGUUUGGUUAACUUCUUUAUGUCUCAGUUUGCACCUUCACUUAGUCACCAUAAAAUGAGGAUAAUAGUCACAGCUCCUUCAUAGGUUAGUUGGGACCAUUAAGUGAUGCACAGAAUGUAGGUCUCUUAGCCCAGUGCCCAGUGCCCAGUAAACAAGAGAUAAGAGACAAAGGUUAGCUCUGACAGUAAUUCUGAGUGUGCUACUAGCUCCCUGCCUUGCCCACCUAAAUCAAGGGAAGGACAUGCUUUUCUACCAGGCCAUCUGCCUUCAUUGAUUCAACUAGACCCAGGUAAAUGUUACAUCCAGUGUAAAGCCUGUCUCUAAAAUUUUGUGUAGCCAAAGGGACUCUCUUACUGGUCAUGGCAUUUAUGCUGCUUUGUGAUACACUUUGUUUUUAAAUGUGGUGUUGUCAAUUGAUUUAAGUAUUUUAUUGGACAAUUUUACAAGUUCCACUGCCCCAAAGCUUUUUAAAGCAGGAACCACUUUUUUAAAUCAAAUAGAUAAAUGUAAAGUUGUUGCACUUGAAAUAACAGCAGUUACAAGCAAUAGGGCCAGAAUUUCCACUUGGGCUGUUUAACUAUUUCCCUGGAGGUUUUCCUAAAAUGUAGGGGAAGAGCAAUGGAGACAGGCGACUAAACUCCUAAGCUCUGAACUUGGUGUCACCCAGGUCCCCAAGUCCACUCCCCUGAAGUUGUUGCUGGGUCCACCAGGUACAUAGGGAUUUGCUCAUCCUCCUGGGAAGAGAUAGUCUGACCUUAACUAUUUCUUAAGUCCCUUUGAUACCAGUUGUAUCCCACAUCAGUGAUGGAAUAACGGAUAAUGAGUCAACACUUUAGACUGUUCCUGCAAACUGCUGCUUGUUUCUAUUUUGAAAGUGAGCUGCAAAUCACUUUCAUUUUAGUACAAAAGAGCUCUAUACUGUCAAAAAUAUAAACUGUUCUAUAGAUACACUUAAGAAUUUUAAAAGUCAGCAUCACUAGUAGUACAAUAUUCCAACCAUACAUGCCUCCUACUAUGAUGAAACAUGGAUCACUUUUGAAGUAUUCUUGACAAAAAUGUUUAUUUAACCUGAAUUGAACUAAGCCUUUGACCUAACUUCCAGUUUAGAAGGAGUAUAGAGGAUAGAGGAAAACAUUAAAUGGUACCACAAUAGAAUAAUCAGAAAAAUCCAGAAUGUGGGAAGUUCUAUAAGAUAACUGGCCUAGUCUCUUAAAAAAAGUGAUGUCACGGGGGAAAAAAUAGGGGAUGGGACCAGUUCCAGAUUAAAAGAGACCGGAAACACCAAAUGCAAUGCAUGACUUCAAAUGAAUCCUCAUUUGAAAAAUAACAGAUAUAGAAGAUAUUUCAAGGCCUAUUGGGGAAAUUUGAAUUUAACUAUCAGAUGACAUUAGAGAAUUACUGUUCAUGGUCCUUAUUGAUCAUACUGAAGAAUGACCUUUUUUUUAGGAAAUGAAUACUGAAAUAUUCAAAUAUGAAGCAUUACAUCCAAAUGAUUAGUAAAAUAUUAACAAUUAUGGAAUCUAGGUGGUUGCCAUGUGGGUAAAUAAUUGUACUACCCUUUCAAUAAUCGUGCAUGUUUGAAAAUUAUCAUCAUAAA
rnacentral:lncRNA from 1 species